rnacentral:rRNA from 1 species
UACGUAGGGUGCGAGCGUUAAUCGGAAUUACUGGGCGUAAAGCGUGCGCAGGCGGUUCGUUGUGUCGGCGGUGAAAGCCCCGGGCUUAACCUGGGAAUGGCCGUUGAAACUGGCGAACUGGAGUGUGGCAGAGGGGGGUGGAAUUCCGCGUGUAGCAGUGAAAUGCGUAGAGAUGUGGAGGAACACCGAUGGCGAAGGCAGCCUUCUGGGCCAAUACUGACGCUCAUGCACGAAAGCGUGGGGAGCAAACAGG